UGCCUCAGGGAGGGUAUAGGUGGGACUGAAACAGAAGAAGAAUUAGUAGUAGAAAGCUUUACACCGUAGAAUUGCGAUUGUGAUGAUUGGGAGAGAAUGAGGAUGAUUUAUGAAGAUGGAUUCUUAGGC